UACGUAGGGUGCGAGCGUUGUCCGGAUUUAUUGGGCGUAAAGAGCUCGUAGGCGGUUUGUCGCGUCGGCCGUGAAAUCUCCACGCUUAACGUGGAGCGUGCGGUCGAUACGGGCAGACUUGAGUUCGGUAGGGGAGACUGGAAUUCCUGGUGUAGCGGUGAAAUGCGCAGAUAUCAGGAGGAACACCGGUGGCGAAGGCGGGUCUCUGGGCAUUAACUGACGCUGAGGAGCGAAAGCAUGGGGAGCGAACAGG
rnacentral:rRNA from 1 species